CCUACGGGUGGCAGCAGUGGGGAAUAUUGCGCAAUGGGCGAAAGCCUGACGCAGCGACGCCGCGUGAGGGAUGAAGGUCUUCGGAUCGUAAACCUCUGUUAGCAGGGAAGAACGGUCACUGUGCUAAUCAGCAGUUAAUUGACGGUACCUGCAAAGGAAGCCCCGGCUAACUCCGUGCCAGCAGCCGCGGUAAUACGGAGGGUGCGUGCGUUGAUCGGUAUUACUGGGCGUAAAGCGAGCGUAGGCGGUAUGUCAAGUCAAGUGUGAAAUCCCCGCGCUCAACGGGGGAACUGCCUUUGAAACUGGCAAACUGGAGUGUGUGAGAGGAUAGUGGAAUUCCAGGUGUAGGGGUGAAAUGCGUAGAUAUCUGGAGGAACAUCAGUGGCGAAGGCGACUAUCUGGCACAUAACUGACGCUGAGGAGCGAAAGCGUGGGUAGCGAACAGGAUUAGAUACCCUUGUAGUC
rnacentral:rRNA from 1 species